rnacentral:rRNA from 1 species
CCUACGGUGGGCAGCAGUGAGGAAUAUUGGUCAAUGGGCGCGAGCCUGAACCAGCCAAGUCGCGGGAGGGAAGACGGUCCUAUGGAUUGUAAACCUCUUUUGUCGGGGAGCAAAAGACGCCACGCGUGGAGUUCCGAGAGUACCCGAAGAAAAAGCAGCGGCUAACUCCGUUCCAGCCGCCGCGGUAAAACGGAGGAGGCGAGCGUUAUCCGGAUUUAGAGGGUUUAAAGGGUGCGCAGGCGGAAGAGUAAGUCAGCGGUAAAAUUGAGAGGCUCAACCGCGUCGCGCCGUUGAAACUGGUUUUCUUGAGUGAGUGAGAAGUAUGCGGAAUGCGUGGUGUAGCGGUGAAAUGCAUAGAUAUCACGCAGAACUCCGAUUGCGAAGGCAGCAUACCGGCGCUCAACUGACGCUCAUGCACGAAAGUGUGGGUAUCGAACAGGAUUAGAUACCCGUGUAGUC